rnacentral:rRNA from 1 species
GAUGAACGCUGGCGGCGUGCCUAAUACAUGCAAGUCGAGCGGUAAGGCCCUUCGGGGUACACGAGCGGCGGACGGCUGAGUAACACGUAGGAACGUACCCCAAACUGAGGGAUAAGCACCAGAAAUGGUGUCUAAUACCGCAUGUGGCCCACGGGCUAAAGCUCCGGCGGUUUGGGAACGGCCUGCGUCCGAUUAGCUAGUUGGUGAGGUAAUUGCUCACCAAGGCGACGAUCGGUAGCUGGUCUGAGAGGAUGAUCAGCCAGACUGGGACUGAGACACGGCCCAGACUCCUACGGGAGGCAGCAGUAGGGAAUUUUCCACAAUGGGGGCAACCCUGAUGGAGCAACGCCGCGUGCAGGAUGAAGGCCUUCGGGUUGUAAACUGCUUUUAUCUGUGACGAUUAUGACGGUAGCAGAUGAAUAAGGACCUGCUAACUACGUGCCAGCCGCCGCAGUAA